UUAAAUCAUUAAAUUUAAAAGAUUUGGCGGUAUUUUAUAUAAUUAGAGGAAUCUGUAUAAUAAUUGAUAAUCCACAAUAAGAAAAACUUAAUGAUUUAUGUAUUGCUGUUUUAAGAUUAUUAUUAAUUAAAUUUUUAAAUUUUUAUUUUAAUUUAAUUCAAGUCAAAAUAUAGUUUUAUUAAGAUAUGGAUUACAAUUAAAUUUUGAAAUAGGAUUUAAUAGUAA
rnacentral:rRNA from 1 species